ACGAAGGGGGCUAGCGUUGCUCGGAAUCACUGGGCGUAAAGGGUGCGUAGGCGGGUCUUUAAGUCAGGGGUGAAAUCCUGGAGCUCAACUCCAGAACUGCCUUUGAUACUGAGGAUCUUGAGUUCGGGAGAGGUGAGUGGAACUGCGAGUGUAGAGGUGAAAUUCGUAGAUAUUCGCAAGAACACCAGUGGCGAAGGCGGCUUUCUGGACACCAACUGACGCUGAGAUGCGAAAGCGUGGGGAGCAAACAGGA
rnacentral:rRNA from 1 species